AGGGGAUCUUCGGACCUUUCGCUAUGAGAUGAGCCUGCGUUAGAUUAGCUAGUUGGUAGGGUAAAGGCCUACCAAGGCGACGAUCUAUAGCUGGUCUGAGAGGACGAUCAGCCACACUGGGACUGAGACACGGCCCAGACUCCUACGGGAGGCAGCAGUGGGGAAUAUUGGACAAUGGGCGAAAGCCUGAUCCAGCAAUACCGCGUGUGUGGAGAAGGCCUUAGGGUUGUAAAGCACUUUCAAUUGGGAGGAAAACCUGCCGGCCAAUACCCGGUAGCUUGACAUUACCUUUAGAAGAAGCACCGGCUAACUCCGUGCCAGCAGCCGCGGUAAUACGGAGGGUGCGAGCGUUAAUCGGAAUUACUGGGCGUAAAGCGUGCGUAGGCGGUUCGUUAAGUCAGAUGUGAAAGCCCUGGGCUCAACCUGGGAACUGCAUUUGAAACUGGCGGACUAGAGUUUAGUAGAGGGGAGUGGAAUUUCAGGUGUAGCGGUGAAAUGCGUAGAUAUCUGAAGGAACACCAGUGGCGAAGGCGACUCCCUGGACUAGAACUGACGCUGAGGUACAAAAGCGUGGGUAGCAAACAGGAUUAGAUACCCUGGUAGUCCACGCCGUAAACGAUGUCGACUAGC
rnacentral:rRNA from 1 species